rnacentral:rRNA from 1 species
UACGUAGGGGGCGAGCGUUGUCCGGAUUUAUUGGGCGUAAAGAGCUCGUAGGCGGUCUGUCGCGUCGGAUGUGAAAACCCAGGGCUCAACUCUGGGCCUGCAUUCGAUACGGGCAGACUAGAGUACGGCAGGGGAGACUGGAAUUCCUGGUGUAGCGGUGAAAUGCGCAGAUAUCAGGAGGAACACCGGUGGCGAAGGCGGGUCUCUGGACCGAUACUGACGCUGAGGCGCGAAAGCGUGGGGAGCAAACAGG